AGAUUGAACGCUGGCGGCAUGCCUAACACAUGCAAGUCGAACGGGAGUAGCAAUACUCUAGUGGCGGACGGGUGAGGAAUACGUAGGAAUUUGCCCUUAAGUGGGGGAUAACCCGGGGAAACCCGGAUUAAUACCGCAUGACCUCGAAAGAGCAAAGUGGGGGAUCGCAAGACCUCACGCUUUUGGAGAAGCCUACGUCGGAUUAGCUAGUUGGUGAGGUAAUGGCUCACCAAGGCGACGAUCCGUAACUGGUCUGAGAGGAUGAUCAGUCACACCGGAACUGAGACACGGUCCGGACUCCU
rnacentral:rRNA from 1 species